rnacentral:pre_miRNA from 1 species
ACUGGCUUCCAAAGGUGAGUAGAUGGCAUUCGAUACACUCUAGCACCAUUCGAAAUCAGUAC